ACGAGAUAUCCAUGAUGGCCGUCCAAGCGUUGCGUAGGCGUUGUGCACACUGUCUGGUAUAACCGUGUGUACCUCUCCUGCGUCACAUUUGGACGGCAUGUGCGCACAGCCAUCAG
rnacentral:precursor_RNA from 16 species